rnacentral:rRNA from 1 species
GACGAACGCUGGCGGCGCGCCUAACACAUGCAAGUCGAACGGAGCUGAGAGAAGCUUGCUUUUCUUAGCUUAGUGGCGAACGGGUGAGUAACGCGUGAGUAACCUGCCCUGGAGUGGGGGACAACAGUUGGAAACGACUGCUAAUACCGCAUAAGCCCACGAUCCGGCAUCGGAUUGAGGGAAAAGGAUUUAUUCGCUUCAGGAUGGACUCGCGUCCAAUUAGCUAGUUGGUGAGGUAACGGCCCACCAAGGCGACGAAUGGUAGCCGGACUGAGAGGUUGAAAGGCCACAUUGGGACUGAGGCACAGCCCAGACUCCUACGGGAGGCAGCAGUGGGGGAUAUUGCACAAUGGGGGAAACCCUGAUGCAGCGGCGCCGCGUGGAGGAAGAAGGUUUUCGGAUUGUAAACUCCUGUCGGUAGGGACGAUAAUGACGGUACCUAACAAGAAAGCACCGGCUAACUACGUG